CCAAUAGCGUAUAUUAAAGUUGUUGCAGUUAAAAAGCUCGUAGUUGAAUUUCGGGAUCAAUACGUCGGUCGUGCCUCGGUACGUACUGGUAUUUUUGGUUUCUCCCUUCUGACGAACCUUGAUGUCAUUAAUUUGGUGUCUUGGGAAAUCAGGACUGUUACUUUGAAAAAAUUAGAGUGUUUAAAGCAGGCUCACGCUUGAAUACAUUAGCAUGGAAUAAUGAAAUAGGACGUUUGAUUCUAUUUUGUUGGUUUCUAGGAUCGACGUAAUGAUUAAUAGGGAUAGUGGGGGGCAUUAGUAUUCAAUUGUCAGAGGUGAAAUUCUUGGAUUUAUUGAAGACUAACUACUGCGAAAGCAUUUGCCAAGGAUGUUUUCAUUAAUCAAGAACGAAAGUUAGGGGAUCGAAGACGAUCAGAUACCGUCGUAGUCUUAACCAUAAACUAUGCCGACUAGGGAUCGGAUGAUGUUAAUUUUUUAAUGACUCAUUCGGCGCCUUACG
rnacentral:rRNA from 1 species